rnacentral:tRNA from 1 species
CGCGGGGUGGCGCAGCCUGGUAGCUCGUAGGGCUCAUAACACGAAGGUCGUCGGUUCAAAUCCGGCACCCGCAACCA